rnacentral:rRNA from 1 species
GCUUAACACAUGCAAGUCGAGCGAGAAUCGUUUUGCUGAAGGCUUCGGUCUGACGCAGAAUGAGGAAAGCUGCGAACGGGUGAGUAACGCGUGGGCAACCUGGCCUUAAGAAAAGGAUAGCCCCCGGAAACGGGGAGUAAUACUUUAUGAGAAUAGAAAAGGGCAUCCUAUUUCUAUUCAAAGCGCAAGCGCUUAAGGAUGGGCCCGCGUAUCAUUAGCUAGUUGGUGAGAUAACAGCCCACCAAGGCAACGAUGAUUAGCCGGUCUGAGAGGGCGAACGGCCACAUUGGAACUGAGAGACGGUCCAAACUCCUACGGGAGGCAGCAGUGGGGAAUAUUGCGCAAUGGAGAAGAACUCUGACGCAGCAAUACCGCGUGAGCGAAGAAGGUCUUCGGAUCGUAAAGCUCUGUUAUCAGGGAAGAAGAAAAUGACGGUACCUGAUGAGCAAGUCCCGGCUAACUACGUGCCAGCCGCCGCAGUAA